rnacentral:ncRNA from 1 species
CAGUGGACGACCACUGUUGAAAUCAAAAAGCGGGACGACCCGC